rnacentral:rRNA from 1 species
UACGGAGGAGGCAAGCGUUAUCCGGAAUUAUUGGGCGUAAAGCGUCCGUAGGUGGUUUUACAAGUCAGCUGUUAAAGCGUGAGGCUUAACCUCAUACAGGCGGUUGAAACUGUAGGACUAGAGUUUGGUAGGGGUUGCGGGAAUUCCCAGUGUAGCGGUGAAAUGCGUAGAUAUUGGGAAGAACACCGGUGGCGUAGGCGGUUUUCCAGCCACAUCCUGACGCUGAGGCACGAAAGCAAGGGGAGCAAACAGG